GGCUUUGUGGUGCAAUGGAAAGUGUGUUGGACUUCUGAGCUAGGUUGGUCAUUGAAAGAUUGUGGGUUCAAAUCCCACCAAAGACA
rnacentral:tRNA from 1 species